UUCAAACGGGUUCCGUUGAAAGGCUCCCUGCGCUCGCUGCGAACGAAGUGGUGUUUCGCGCAUCUAUUUUUACCGUGUUUAUCAAUAUUACGUGCGGUUAUCGUUGUUGAAUGAACACGUACUACUUACAUCGCGUGUCGGGACGUUCGGGUCGUUGUUUGACAUGGAAUCGACGGCGGCGAUGCGUCGUCGUGGCACCAACCAACGGACGCGAGCUUUGAACAAGAGCGCAAGCGCGGGCCGUUUGACGAGACAGUCGCCGCAGCGGAUACAACACCUCGGUAAGAGUGCCUGGGCGGGCGGCCAGUUACCACAGAAGGGAUGCUGCGCAAGAGCAAGGGCCUGCUAAAAAACAGCUCAAGAGACUGAAGUGGUGGACAGCUUGCUGUGAAAGAUGGAAGCGUUCUUCCUGCAAGUCUGGACAAGGCCAUAUUAAAUGGCUUCAUCUGUCACAAAUCGCUGGCCACGAAUGUAAAGAAUACCUUGGCCCCACUUCUGUCGAGGGAACCGAAGUUGCCUGAACAGAUGAAGAGGGGUGGUGCUACCAAUAGUGAACGACUGUGAUUUUAUAAUGUGCAAGUGUAUGAAAAAUCUCGUUACACUAAUUUAACGUUAAUUGCAUUCACUAGUCAAGUGUCAAUAUUGUAAUGUGUAAGUUUAUGCACAGUUGCAUUAAGUGAGCGCUCAUUCAAGCUUCAAGUUCGCAAUCAUAUAUUUUGGUGGUAUUCAUAGGGCACACAUUCCACUUUAAAUUGUGAUCUGCUCCUUUACUGAGGGUGCAUGCAGGUCCUUGAAACGAUUGAAAACCCUUGAAAAAGUAAAAGUACAUUUUUAAAGCCCUGAAACCCUUGGAAUUUCUUAGCAUAUAGUGUCCAAUAUUGACAAUACUAAUUUCUUUCGGUGUUCUGUAAACAUUUGUCUAGCAAACUGAGGGAACAUGUCAUGCUCAGUGAUGAUUCGGCUACUGUGUUUACCUUGCUUGCAUCACUGCUUUACCGAUCAUUCAUUUCGUUUCCGCAACUGUCGGUCCGCCUUCUCCCCCUUUCUCUUGAUUUGGCUUCUUGGGACUCGACUUCACUUCCAGCGCUUAUGCUAGUUUCUCUUCUUCUAUAGCAAGCUCACUACUUGUGAUAGAUCUUCUAGCUCAACAAACAUCCACUGUCCUAUAAUGCAGGCAAAAUGUGAAAAAAAAGUUGAUGCUUUGUGCUAGAAACCAAGUACUUCUGACUAAAGCUGAUGGCACUGCUGCUCAGGCUUAGUGAUUGACUCCCAUGUAGUGAUUGUUAUUGAUCUUUUGUGUAGGCAAGAACCUUGACUUUGUAUGUAGAGGAUAUUUGCUAAGUUGAUUGCUCUGCUGGCAUAAAUCCAAUUCGCACUUGACUCAAUUGUUAUCAAAGCCCAAAAACAGGAGAAGCAUGAUGACUGCAUGGAGUCAAAAAUGUAUUCAACGAUCGAAUUGUAAAAAUUGGGGAUAAAAUUUUGAAGCGGUCAUUACUAUUUUGUUGUUUAGCAGGUCAGUACUCGGAAAAAGUAGAAGCGUCGUACAUCACCGUCAUAAAACUAAACAGUUUCUCAAUGCCUGAAAAAGUGAGACGGGGGAACUGAACAAGAUUACUUAUCUAAUAUAAAAGAUGUCCCAGCAGCUUCAUUAAUGCUGUGAAUUUUGUGCACAGUAGGAAGCUAAUAUGAUCAGGUAGAGUAUCGGACGCAUUAUCUCAAGGUUGUAGAUUUGGUCCCUAUCAGCAGCAAGUUGAUUUUUCAUCCUGUUUAAUUCCUUGCCAUUUAUGUCAUAAUUACUACUCUACAGUUAAAACCUACAAAUUAUGUCCUUUAUACUUUCCUUGGCUUCAUUGUCUCUCGGUUCUGACUUGGCUAAAUCCCAUUUUUUACUUCAAAUGCAUAAAGCUCCCCGUAUUGUUUUGGAAACUUUGUUAGAGCAGAAAAUUGAUACUUGUGAUGCUGCCUUCCAUCCUCCAAGAACCUUCUAUAGGAAUCCUUGAAGAUCCUUGAAUUUGGGCUUUGAAACCAGUAUGAGCCCUGUUCACUCCUUCUGCACAUUUCUUCCCGUAGUGUGUGUGCCUUGCCAGUAGUGUUUAUGCGCUUUUUUACCUUCUGAUACUUGUAGUUGUCUAAAAUUUAUUUAUUAAAGUGGUGCUUUACAUAGUGUUUAACUUAUUUUGUCAACUUGGAUGCGGUUUGCACAUUACAGUGGGAAGUUCUUGCUAUGUCAAACCACAAAUACUUAGAAACUUGAACAAAAGUUGUUGCUUAAAAAUAAAUAUUUUACUUAGAAAACUGUUCUCUUCUUUUUUCCCAAGUUACACAGAAACUCGGCUAGUGUCCAUUAAAACAAGCUAAUAGAGAAGAAUAGAAGUUCAUGGCAGUGUUAAUGUGUUGCUGCUUGGCAUGUGCCUUGGUGUCGCCAAUCUCGGGUGCAAGUAUAAGUGUCGUUUACUCACAGGUGUUUGCACCCUGCAAACACUACCUGAAUGGACAAAGGGAGCCAUGUAUACUGCUAAAAUAUGACCUGUGUGAAUAUCUGUUGGUAGAGGAGACUGGUAUAUAGCUUUGGCUGUGAGAGACUUCGAGAUAUAAUACGGAUUUGAGUAAGUUUUAAACAUUACCUCCUUUGCUGCACCUUACAGCGUGUGAAAAACAAGCAGUGUAUUCAUAAACGAUGAUGCUAAAGGUUUUAUUCCAGCUGGCAGCAAUCUGAAUGUAUGUUGCGUAAUUGAGAUUAUUGUUGUUUUGAAAGAAUGGGCAAAUGAAAAUGUAGGCACUUAUGUACUGCAGGCCAAAGGUGACCUAGCUAGGCCUGCAGUACACAUGUACUUACAUAUACAUUUGGCCGUUUUCCCAAAUCAAGAAUGAUCUCAGUCAGGCUAUGAGCGUCACCCAUGUUUCAUUGACCUUUCAGUGUUGAAUGUGAAAACCCUAUCAACAAUGCUUCAAUUUGACGUUCACCGUUUUUUCAACGAUAAAUCAAUAUUGAUUUCCUUAAUGGUCGUUCAAUUGAAAGUCGUGGGCCAAUUUUCAAUACUGGUCAACAGCUAGCGCAACGAAAUUUCACUUGAACCACAACGUAUUUUCAAUUGACAUUUCUUUU